UGGCGGCGAUAGCGCGGUGGUCCCACCUGACCCCAUGCCGAACUCAGAAGUGAAACGCCGUAGCGCCGAUGGUAGUGUGGGGUCUCCCCAUGUGAGAGUAGGGAACUGCCA
rnacentral:rRNA from 11 species